GCUUAGAGAGGGGUCAAUGUCCUAUCAGCUAGUUGGUAGGGUAAUGGCCUACCAAGGCUAAGACGGGUAGCCGGCCUGAGAGGGUGGUCGGCCACACUGGGACUGAGACACUGCCCAGACUCCUACGGGAGGCUGCAGUCGAGAAUCUUUCGCAAUGCCCGAAAGGGUGACGAAGCGACGCCGCGUGUGGGAAGAAGGCCUUCGGGUUGUAAACCACUGUCGGGAGUUAAGAAAUGCAAGGGUGUUAAUAGCAUCCUUGCUUGACUAAGGCUCCGGAGGAAGCCACGGCUAACUCUGUGCCAGCAGCCGCGGUAAUACAGAGGCGGCAAGCGUUGUUCGGAAUUAUUGGGCGUAAAGAGCACGUAGGCGGCUCUGUAAGUCAGUUGUGAAAGCCUUCUGCUCAACGGAAGAACAGCAUCUGAUACUGCAAGGCUAGAGUGCGGAAGGG
rnacentral:rRNA from 1 species